rnacentral:misc_RNA from 1 species
CCGAGUGAGGGCCCGCGCGGUCCGACCUCCAACCCCAUGUUUUCCGACUCUGUUGCCUCGGGGGCGACCCGGCCCCGUUGGGUGCCGGGGCCCCCGGCGGUCCACACCAACUCUGCAUCACGGCGUCCGAGUCACGAUUUGAAUCAAUCA